CUGGGGAAGCUGAAAGGCAGAAGA
rnacentral:piRNA from 1 species